UGCAAUACUACCCAAAAACUAAAUUUUUCUUACAUACAAAACGAACACUUAGUAGCUUUGAUAAUAUUUAAAACAGCACUUCAAAAUUCUAUCAGUCACCCAAACUUGAAUCCAUUCAUCCCCUAAUCAUACAACUCAGGCCGUUUCGAACGGAGGGGGGUAAACAAAGCAGGUAAAGCACGCGACCGGUCGCGAGAGGAGGAGUGACGGCGCAUGUAAAUGGGAACGGGAAGUGACGCGACCCUUUUGUCACCGACGACAAACGCCUAGUAGACAAAUUAGCCUUCACAGCGGAACCGUAUGGAAAGUAUGGCAUUCAUUCAAUGGUAGCGCACACGAUCGACCGGAAAUGGUGAUGUCUAUCAGCGUGUGAAAGUUUUUUGUGGAGGUCCUUGGGCAAUUGAUUCGUUCAACUACCACAGAACGGAGGGUGGGCGUUUUACGUGGAAUAAUGACAAAAUCCGGUUGCUAAAAUUUUUAACUGCGCCCAACUUAUUCCAACACUUUGACUCAAAUAUAAAAGUGAUUUCCUAUUCCUAUUUUUUUUUCUUAAUGGCGGUGAGAGGUAUUUGCUAUUUUACGACUCUUAUUAAUUCCGGCCGAUUACGAAGUGUUGCAGUGCUGUGAAAUUUCCAUUUUAACCUUCGGUUUUUUCAUUGCUCUCAUUUCAAUUCCUUCAGUUCAGGGUGUACAAACAAGCACGCAUCGUAAAUGGAACCUUUUGAUACUGCCAUUUGUGGCAUCGUAAAAAAAGUUACUUCCCGCGUGGUGUGAAGAGCCUUCAAACCCAACAAAACAAAAAAAAACAUGUAGUUUUACUAAUCAAUUUAUUUAUGCAAGUGGAUUUUUGAGCAAUGAAUUUAGCUAAGCCGAGGCACCUUCUGAGCAGCAAAAUUUUAUUGAGCUUUUUGACUAAUGGAAUGAUCUCGUUUUUGGGCUUCCUGUAUAGACCUGGGCCGGUCUAGCAGAACGCGUUUUAUAGCUCGAUGCUAUUGUGAAAACGUAAUAGUUUAAAUAAAUUGUCAGAGAAAUUUUUUUUUACUGUCAACAACACUUACCAAAAGCUAACGGUUGUAGGCUAUUUCAGACUUAUUGUUCCAUUACACAGUAUAAAUUAGUGUACUGAGCUGAAAAAUAAAUUAUUAACUUAAUCAGAUGAACAUCCGCGGAUUUUGGUCAGUAUUCAAAUUAGCCUACUAUGUUGCGGAGGUCCCUCGUUCGUCAUCAGUUCGGUGUAACUACCCGAGCAAAGUCAAACAUCAAAACGAGAGCAAAUUGAAAUCUUAUUAUGAUGGCAACAUCACAUUGAAAUCUUUAUUUGAUAUCAGCUUAUCAAUUUUUCAAUUGAUAUUACAUUAUGUUAUCUUUUUGCUGUUACUUUUGAAAAAAACUUGUGAACCAAAAUUUUGGGAAACUCCAAAAAUUAUUAUUCAAAAGCAACAACUUAAUAACUGCAUCAAAAUAGGACUAGUUCCAUUAGGCGAUACAAAAAUGCAAAAAUUAUUUUUAAAGGAUCAAUUAUUCCUUUAAUUCUAUGUUGCGUUUUACAAAAAUGCUUCCUGUGGCAGUUGUCCGGAACCAUAACCGUGAUCAAUGAAAAGAUUGUUGUCAACACUUUUGCCGCUUUUACACCAAUAAUCCUCUAUAUUUUUGCUUGCGAGAUUCUUGUUGAAGCACCACACAUCUGGAGGACAUUGGAUAGCUUGGCGAUCAUUGGUGCCACGUUUAUCUGAAGCUAGUUUAUCUCCUUUAGUGAUCUCCUGGCAUACUGAGCCUUCACCAGAUCCGGCCAAAAGCCCUCAUUCUCUUUCGAGGACGAAUAGUGGCUUGGGCAUUCUCAUCUCGCUAAUCGUCAGCCACAGAAAGACCUUCUUCAGGAACUUGAUAUCAAAAAUACAUUUGACGUCAACGAUUUCCUCCUGGUGGGAUACGUUAAAUAUCAGAUUCUCUAACAGUUUUCGCGUUUAAUUAAAAAAAGAUGCUGAAUGUUCUGACUAUUAUUUUCGGUUGUUGUUUUGACCGUUAUUGUCUGUGGUUCAGAAAUCGACGACGGGUAAAAACACCGUCCAAGCGAAACAAUGGAUUGAAAAAUGUUAUCCGGACUCUUGUCCAUCAAAAGCAACGAUUUGUCGGUGGUUCGCCGAGUUUAAACGUGGUCGUACCGACACAAAUGACGCGGAAAGCUCAGGUUGACCUGUGGAAACCGUUACACCGGAAAAUGUGAGUGAAGUGACAAAAAUUAUAAUGAAAGAUCGCAAAGUGAAGCUCCGUGAGAUUGCUGAGAUGACACAGAUAUCAUAUGGGAGUGUAUUUACUAUCCUUCAGGAAAAAUUAAGCUUGAAAAAGGUUUUUUCCAAGUGGGUGCCGCGAUUGCUUUCGAUGGAACAAAAACAGCAACGAGUCGAUGAUUCAGAAAGCAGUUUAUCGCUAUUUACUCGCAACAAAAAAGAUUUCUCGCGUCGUUACGUGACCAUGGACGAAACAUGGAUACAUCACUACACUCCAGAGUCGAAGCGGCAGUCAUCUGAGUGGCGCACAGCUGGCGAAAGCCGUCCGAAGCGUCCGAAAACGCAGCAGUUAAAGUCAUGGCGUCAGUUUUUUGGGAUACGCAUGACGUGAUUUUCAUUGACUACCUCGAAAAAGCAACCAGGCUCUCGGGUAGCCAACCUUCUGGAUCAAGAGAUGUGACACACAAAGGAAACGUGCAAUAGAAUAACCUCAAUCGAUCAGCGUGAAUAUUAAU